rnacentral:rRNA from 1 species
AUUGAACGCUGGCGGCAGGCCUAACACAUGCAAGUCGGGCGAGCGGCGGACGGGUGAGUUAUGUAUGGGGAUCUGCCUUAUGGAGGGGGCUAACUACUGGAAACGGUAGCUAAUCCCGCAACCCAUCAGAUGACCCCAUAUGGGAGUAGCUUGUAGGGGAGGUAACGGCUCACCUAGGCGACGAUCCCUAGCUGGUCUGAGAGGAUGAUGAGCAACAGGGGGGCGGAGACAAGCAGCAGACUCCGACGGGAGGCAGGAGUGGAGAAUAUACGAGAAGGGGCGCAAGGCUAAAGUAGCCAUGGGGCGUGUAUGAGGAAGGGCUUCGGGUUGUAAAGGACUUCAAGUCGGGAGGCGUUACCUACAGAAGAAGCACCGGCUAACUCCGUGCCAGCAGCCGCGGUAAUAC